ensembl:lncRNA
CCGUAAGUGGACGAAACACAUGCCGCAUGUGACCAGAGUCUUUUCGUCCGCUUUCGUGGUUUGACUUGGCCUCUUGUGCUCCAGUUCUGGCCUUGAGGAAGGCAUGUCCCAGAAAGCCGUAGGCCCUGCAGGAAUAAAAGACCCACAAAGUGAAUGGAAACCCAGCCAUGGCCAGAACAGCGCUGAACCUGGCUCCCCUGCUGAUGCAGCCAUGAACUGAAUUGUGAAUGAGAAGAGAAACACUUUGGGCUCCAUGCUUGCAUCAGAAUAUGGACCCCAGUCACUGGAUUAGGGCCCAUCGCAACCCAGCAUUACCUCAUCUUAACUUGGUGACACCUGCAAAGACUCUGCUUGCCAGUAAGAUCACACUCUGAAGUCCUGGGGCAGGAUUUCAACAUAUCUCAUGAGAGGACACGACUCACCCACAGCAGAAAGGGACAGGGAAAAAGGGUUUUGGGAGGGGUGUUUGUUUGGUCCCCAGAUGUGCUGCGUGGAGAUAUUGCAUCAGGAUGAUGGAGACGUCAGAAAACAGAGCAGCCAGCCUGGAGUCGGCUGGCAUGGAACGGAUGAAUUACGCAUCCCCAGAACUGCCUACCUCCGGACUUUUUUACGAGGUCAUUAAAUAUCCUUACUGUUAAGUCCAUUUUUACUCAUUGCUUGCAACGG